GAUGAACGCUGGCGGUAUGCUUAACACAUGCCAGUCGAACGGACUCUUCGGAGUUAGUGGCGGACGGGUGAGUAACGCGUGAGAAUCUGGCUUUGGGUUCGGGACAACCACUGGAAACGGUGGCUAAUACCGGAUGUGCCGAGAGGUAAAAGAGAAAUUGCCUGAAGAUGAGCUCGCGUCUGAUUAGCUAGUUGGUGAGGUAAAGGCUCACCAAGGCAGCGAUCAGUAGCUGGUCUGAGAGGAUGACCAGCCACACUGGGACUGAGACACGGCCCAGACUCCUACGGGAGGCAGCAGUGGGGAAUUUUCCGCAAUGGGCGAAAGCCUGACGGAGCAAUACCGCGUGAGGGAAGAAGGCUCUUGGGUUGUAAACCUCUUUUCUUAGGGAAGAACAAAAUGACGGUACCUAAGGAAUCAGCAUCGGCUAACUCCGU
rnacentral:rRNA from 1 species